rnacentral:rRNA from 1 species
GAUGAACGCUGACAGAAUGCUUAACACAUGCAAGUCUUUCGCGAAUCUGUGCUCUCACUGCCUAGCCAAUGCGGCCGGGUUAGUUACGCGUAAUGAACUUGCCCUUCAUUCAGGGAUAACAGACGGAAACGUCUGAUAAGACCUGCAAAAGUCAGCCGGACACAUUUCCCGCCUGAUGAAAAGAGAUGCUGCAGGAGAUCCUUAUGCCCGAUUAGCUCUUUUGUGGGGUAACGGCCCACCGAGGCGAUGAUAGGUAUCCGGCCUGAGAGGGUCGACGGCCCCGAGGAGACUGAGAUACGGGGCAGACUCCUACGGGAGGCAGCAGUGGAGAAAAUUGGGAAACGGGGGCAACGCUGAUACAGAAAUUCUGUGUGCACGAGUAAGGUUUUCGGAUUGGAAAGUGCUUUCAGCAACGAAGAAAAAAAUGACGGUACCUGAAGAAGAAGCGACGGCUAACUACGUG